UCGGACGUGGUGCAUGGCGCACGCCCGCGAAUAAUUGCUGUGUUCCACUGUAACUCUUGCGGCGGGUGAACGGGUUCGAUUCCCGGCGUCCGAA